AGUCACUUUCCAUGGGGCUGUGGGGGGGUUUCUUUUCUCCUCAGCCAGGGCUAGAGGCCAAGUAUUGUCAGGGCUGCCAUGAGCUGGGCAGCCUUGUUUUCUUACUUCAGACAUUU